GUCUCGGUGGUGUAGUGGUAGAGCACGCGUCCCCGGAUAGGAUGAAACGUGGGUGCGAUUCCGCCCGAGGCC